CACGCUGUAAACGAUGUUCACUAGGUGUUGGGGGUAUUGACCCUCUCAGUGCCGCAGCUAACGCAUUAAGUGAACCGCCUGGGGAGUACGGUCGCAAGAUUAAAACUCAAAGGAAUUGAC
rnacentral:rRNA from 1 species